rnacentral:rRNA from 1 species
UACAGAGGGUGCGAGCGUUAAUCGGAAUUACUGGGCGUAAAGCGCGCGUAGGCGGCUUUGCAAGUCGGGUGUGAAAUCCCCAGGCUUAACCUGGGAACUGCAUUCGAGACUGCAUUGCUAGAGUAUGGGAGAGGGAAGUGGAAUUUCCGGUGUAGCGGUGAAAUGCGUAGAGAUCGGAAGGAACGUCAAUGGCGAAGGCAGCCACCUGGCAUGAUACUGACGCUGAGGCGCGAAAGCGUGGGGAGCGAACAGG